rnacentral:rRNA from 1 species
GAUGAACGCUGGCGGCGUGCUUAACACAUGCAAGUCGAACGGAGUUACAGGAAACCUAGUGAAUGUAACUUAGUGGCGGACGGGUGAGUAACGCGUGGGUAACCUGCCUCACACUGGGGGACAACAGUUAGAAAUGACUGCUAAUACCGCAUAAGCGCACAUUUCCGCAUGGAAGAGUGUGAAAAACUCCGGUGGUGUGAGAUGGACCCGCGUCUGAUUAGCUGGUUGGCGGGGUAACGGCCCACCAAGGCAACGAUCAGUAGCCGGCCUGAGAGGGUGAACGGCCACAUUGGGACUGAGACACGGCCCAAACUCCUACGGGAGGCCGCAGUGGGGAAUAUUGCACAAUGGGGGAAACCCUGAUGCAGCGACGCCGCGUGAGUGAAGAAGUAUUUCGGUAUGUAAAGCUCUAUCAGCAGGGAAGAAAAUGACGGUACCUGAGUAAGAAGCCCCGGCUAACUACGUGCCAGCAGCCGCGGUAAUACGUAGGGGGCAAGCGUUAUC